UUUAAUCAAAUGAUUUUUUAUAGUUGAAUUAUUGUUAAUGGUCGAGCUAUAGGUCAACAUUUCAAAUAUGUAAAGUAGUUAAAAAAACGAGUUUGAGAGACAAAUAUAUGUUUGUCAAAGAAUUGGGUAAGAGCCUGGGCUAUUAUAGUUUUCUUUUAUGACUUGAUAAAUAUGGCCCCUAAAUAAUUGUUUUUAUGGAGGUGUGUCUUCUUUGCCUCAUGUUUCUUCUCCUAAGAUAAUGGGUGUUAACCUAUCUUGUUGCGAGACUCCAACCUCGUCUCUAAAGGUGGUGGAGUGAUGAGAUGACACACCUCUGUUUCUCCUAUAUUGGAGUCGUCCUUAUAAGAUUAAUAAGAUUAAGUGUAUAGGGGAAAAUCUUUUAAAUCUUGUAGAGAGGGUCGAUUGCGUAGCUUGUAGCUUGUAGCUUGAGCGAGAGAAAAAAAAAAAUCUCUCAUUUUGAAGGAUAUUAGUGUUAUGUUGGGUGAUUAAGCAAUAUUUGUGGUGGUAGUGCAUGGAUUUUGAAUGUAUCGAGAUCAUAUAAUUAUGUUUUUAGAGAUUUAAGCGAUGGUUGGUUGCACAAACAUUGGAUAAAAUAUGGCUUGAUGUUUUGUAACUUGUUGGAAGGAGUGCAAUAUGUACGUAUUACUUAAUCUUGUAAGUGGUAAGGUGAUAAGUUCUAUGUUUGACUUUGUAGAGUUUGAAUACUAUUACAAAUACUACUAUAAGGAUAUUUUACAUGAAAUCUAAUGUGAAAGGCAUAUAUUCCGAUAA